AUAUCAGAAAUUGCCGCGGGUGGCGAACGUCGCGUCGUCCGUAAUCAAGAACAAAAUCUUUGUGUUGUUACUUGUGGUGGUUGUUAGAUUGUUCACAUGUUCACACAGGAUCAUAAUUUAUAAGAAAAUGUACACACGAACCGCCAUCCUCCUGGUUCUGGCACUGUCAGUGCCCAGUCACGAACAGGACACGCCCCCGUCCCCCUGCCCUGGCGUGUUUGAGUACCAGAAGCCAGGAUCAGAGACAGGCAAAUGGGAAGGCGUUGUGCACCUCACCUCAGAUGUCCAGCUUUACUCGGUGUUUCUUAACAUAAUUCUGACUGAGAAGGCUCAGUUACUCGGGAACUGGUUAGCGGAGUCGACAACGCAAGACAACAAACAGUUUAGAAUAGAGUCCACUGAAUUGGUAAUAUCACCAGCGGCGCCUCUUGAUUUCAAAUUUUUCGUCAGAUUCGACCCUCUCAGCAAGAUUCCACUGCUGCAGUCAAUUAAAUUUAAUGGGCAGGAAAUUUGCAAUGCAGCUGUUACUACAGAGUCCUCAAGCGAAAAACCUGCACCGCCACCACCGCUGAUACCCCAAGACUCCUUUGAGACCAAACCAAUAAAAACAAUCAGAUAAUAACGAAGUAACUGGGGGCGGCGUGUAUGUACCAGGACCACCUGUAGGACUUCCAACUAUUAUAGGUGGCGGUGUUCCCACAAAUGAAAAGGGGACAUGUGGUAUGGUUUUUGCAAGUACCACGCUUAUACGAAAGGGGAUGGCAACCGGGGAAGCAGAAUGGCCGUGGCAUAUCGCUCUUUACCUCACCGAGAACACGGACAAUGCAUUCACCUGCGGAGGUACCCUGGUAUCGCAUCUUCAUAUCAUCACGGCAGCGCACUGCGUCACUCGGAAGGAAUCGCGUCGGAUCUGGGACAUAAACAGAUUCCACGUGUUGCUAGGGAGACACAACUUGGAGGGAUCAGCCGAAGGCGCCCAGUUACGAUUUGUAAGUAAUUGUUCCUGCGUAAUAUGCCACCUAUAUCUAUGU